AGGACGAACGCUGGCGGCGUGCUUAACACAUGCAAGUCGAGCGGAAAGGCCCUUCGGGGUACUCGAGCGGCGAACGGGUGAGUAACACGUGAGUAAUCUGCCCCUAGCUCUGGGAUAGCUCCGGGAAACCGGGAUUAAUACCAGAUACGACCACUUUAGACAUCUGUUGUGGUGGAAAGAAUUUUGGCUAGGGAUGAGCUCGCGGCCGAUUAGCUAGUUGGCGGGGUAAUGGCCCACCAAGGCAGUGAUCGGUA
rnacentral:rRNA from 1 species